ACGAACGCUGGCGGCGUGCCUAAUACAUGCAAGUUGAGCGCUGAAGGUUGGUACUUGUACCAACUGGAUGAGCAGCGAACGGGUGAGUAACGCGUGGGGAAUCUGCCUUUGAGCGGGGGACAACAUUUGGAAACGAAUGCUAAUACCGCAUAAAAACUUUAAACACAAGUUUUAAGUUUGAAAGAUGCAAUUGCAUCACUCAAAGAUGAUCCCGCGUUGUAUUAGCUAGUUGGUGAGGUAAAGGCUCACCAAGGCGAUGAUACAUAGCCGACCUGAGAGGGUGAUCGGCCACAUUGGGACUGAGACACGGCCCAAACUCCUACGGGAGGCAGCAGUAGGGAAUCUUCGGCAAUAGACGAAAGUCUGACCGAGCAACGCCGCGUGAGUGAAGAAGGUUUUUGGAUCGUAAAAAUCUGUUGGUAGAGAAGAACGUUGGUGAGAGUGGAAAGCUCAUCAAGUGACGGUAACUACCCAGAAAGGGACGGCUAACUACGUG
rnacentral:rRNA from 1 species